rnacentral:tRNA from 1 species
GCGCCUGUGGUGAAAUUGGCAGACACGCCAGAUUUAGGUUCUGGUGAGAGAUCGUGCAGGUUCAAGUCCUGUCAGGCGCACCA